rnacentral:rRNA from 1 species
CCCUAUGGGGUGCAGCAGGUACGAACCCUCCACAAUGCACGAAAGUGCGAUGGGGCUACCUCGAGUGCCGUCUGAAAAAGAUGGCUUUUCCACGGUGUAAGGAGCCGUGGGAAUAAGGGGGGGGCAAGACUGGUGUCAGCCGCCGCGGUAACACCAGCCCCCCGAGUUGUGGGGAUGUUUAUUUGGCCUAAAGCGUCCGUAGCCGGCUCGGUAAAUCUCUCGUUAAAUCCAGCGUCCUAAGCGUUGGGCUGCGAGAAAGACUGCCGAGCUAGAGGGUGGGAGAGGUCAGCGGUAUUUCUGGGGUAGGGGCGAAAUCCAUUGAUCCCAGAAGGACCACCAGUGGCGAAGGCUGCUGACUAGAACACGCCUGACGGUGAGGGACGAAAGCUGGGGUAGCGAAUCGGAUUAGAUACCCGAGUAGUCCCAGCCGUAAACGAUGCAGGCUAGGUGUUGGGUCGGCCACGAGCCGCCUCAGUGCCACAGGGAAGCCAUUAAGCCUGCCGCCUGGGGAGUACGGCCGCAAGGCUGAAACUUAAAGGAAUUGGCGGGGGAGCACCACCAGGCGUGAAGCCUGCGGUUUAAUUGGAGUCAACGCCGGGAACCUUACCGGAAGCGACAGCAGAGUGAAAGGCCAGGUUGGAGGUCUUGCUGGACGAGCUGAGAGGAAGUGCAUGGGCCAAGGCGAU